rnacentral:miRNA from 1 species
AGAAAAUAUCUAUGCAUGUAUAUAUAUAUAUAUAUAUGUGUGUGUGUGUGUGUGUGUGUGUGUGUGUAUACAUAGAUGCACACACAUACACAUUCACAUAUAUGUA